rnacentral:rRNA from 1 species
UACGUAGGGGGCUAGCGUUGUCCGGAAUCAUUGGGCGUAAAGAGCGCGUAGGCGGCUAGAUAAGUCCGGUGUGAAAGUCACAGGCUCAACCUGUGAAUGCCGCUGGAAACUGUCUGGCUAGAGUCCGGAAGGGGCGAGUGGAAUUUCUGGUGUAGCGGUGAAAUGCGCAGAUAUCAGGAGGAACACCAAUGGCGAAGGCAGCUCGCUGGGACGGUACUGACGCUGAGGCGCGAAAGCGUGGGGAGCGAACAGG